rnacentral:rRNA from 1 species
CACGUAGGAUCCGAGCGUUAUCCGAAUUCACUGGGCGUAAAGCGCAUGCAGGCGGUUCAAUAAGUUGGAUGUGAAAUCUCCUGGCUCAACUGGGAGAGGGCGUUCAAUACUGUUGGACUAGAGUACGGUAGAGGGAGGUGGAAUUCCCGGUGUAGUAGUGAAAUGCGUAGAUAUCGGGAGGAACACCAGAGGCGAAGGCGACCUCCUGGACCGUUACUGACGCUCAGAUGCGAAAGCUAGGGGAGCGAACGGG